GGUGACCACAACACAGCGAUGAGCUCCUGUUCUGAAGACAACGAGUCCUCACCUCAUUCAGUCAUGCUGUGCGGAGGCGAGACCGAGCAACAGAGCUGAUCCUCAAACCGCUGAGUGAUGGUUGAUACAGCAUCAGGCCAGUGUGUGUGUGUGUGUGUGUUUUUAGGGAGGGGGACCACGGUCAUGGCUCACUAAGAGUGUGUAAAGAGAGCUUAGAGAUUAUCGCCAAAAUGAGAGUGCUCACAGCUGUGUUUGGCAUGAGUGUGUGUUUGUGUGUGUGUGUGUGUGUGUUGCAUGAGUGUAUGUGUUUAUUUUGAUGGUGUCUCACCAUGUUCUGAACAUGAUAUGCCACAGAAUAUCUUUAAUCACACCAAAGAGGAUAAUGAUAACAUCCAGAGUGCCAGUGCUAGUGUGUGUGUGUGUGUGCAGGGGUGGUAACAUUGGACUGUCUGAGUCUCACUGACAAAUGUUUGUAUCAUAAGGAUCACACAGUGUAUAAACACAUCAUGUCGGGCUGUGCUCGUGUUGUGUUUGAUAACUGACAGCUGCUGUUUUUACUUAAAAAGAAGACAAAGGUGCAGAGUGCAGGCACGUGAUGUCACCGUGAUGUCACCGUGAUGUCACCGUGGAUCCAUCCACUGUCGGAAAACAUGAAGAUCUGCAGAGAAGAAGCUGAUGGACGCAUCAGGCUGACAGACCUGAUUAACUGAUGACUGAUAAAUAUCGAUCAUCUUUCAGUCUUUUGUUCCUUAAAGCAGAGAGAGGCUACACAAACAGUGAAACAUGCAUUUACUGUACAAAGAUGUUGUAAAUGUUGUGUAUCAUGUUGGGUUUUAUUGUCUGUGUGUGGUUGUGCUUCACCUCCCUCCUGUGUGGGCGGGGCUUCCUUAGUUCAGGUUGGCGCGGCGUGGCGUGGUACCGGCAGGAGGCGGGCUCAUCUGCACCUGGCUUCCUGCUGGCAGCCAUCUUAAGCCAGAGCGUGACUAACCUUCCACGCUGGAUGCAACGCACCUCACGGACUCCAUGUGCUCCUCCAGCCAACACGCCACGCUGCAACCUCGUCACCCUGCAUCAGAUCUGUUGGACACUUCCUUUGUGCUGUGGUCCUGUGUCCUGCUAAUGGGUCCAAAGAAACCAAACUUUACAGUAAAACCUGUAACGUCAGGUUGCAUCAUGCAGUAAUAUAAGUAUAAUCCAUGCUGACUUGGGUCUGUUAUAAUACCAUAACAUACUUUCACGUGUCAUCUGUAAACAUGAACAUACGUUUCAGAAAACACACAGAGGCAUCAUGCUCCAUCUGAACCACCCUGACAUCACUCUGACUUUAGCCUCCAGAUGAUGAUCUUACUGAACUUUUAGAGCAUGUUCUGAUCCAUGUCUCCUUGUUCCAUGUGAGCCCUUUGAAUCUUGAGGUCUAUGACCACUGAAGGCUGAAGACAGGAACAGGGACCAGGCUCCAAGUCUCUGUAACAACCGCCCCGAGGUGAUCAGAAGACUCCUUAUCCACUUUAAAGGUCGGGUAGGAGAUUUCAUUCUGAUGCACUUUUUGUUAAAUUAGUGUAACUUCUCUUUACAAUCCGAUAGCAACCGAUUAGUUCGGCAGUUUCACAUUAAAACGAAGAAUAUGAAUCAUCUGUGGAAGCUAUAAAACACUAAAAACAUCAGCCAAUCCUCCGGGUGGACCCUGCGCGGAGUAUUGGCUGGUUG
rnacentral:lncRNA from 1 species